rnacentral:ncRNA from 1 species
GAGAGCCGGAUGCGUGGAGACAUGCACGUCCGGUUCGGCGAGAGGCUCGGGGAAACGGACCGGGAGCAAUCCCGACACCGCGCCCCGGGCCUACUCAGC